AUGGACGAGGAGAUCGGCGCCGCCGCCGCGCCGCAGGGCCAGUGGAAAUAUCACAAAGCUCUUUCCCUACUAGCGUUUCAGAGCUUUGGUGUGGUGUAUGGAGACCUGAGUACGUCGCCUCUGUAUGUCUUCAAAAGCGCACUGUCUGGACUGGACAAGUACAGUGAUGAGGCGACCGUCUUUGGAUUGCUUUCACUGAUAUUUUGGACCUUGACACUCAUUCCGUUGCUAAAGUACGUCAUAAUUGUCUUGGGUGCUGACGAUAAUGGCGAGGGUGGGACAUUUGCUUUGUAUUCACUACUCUGCAGGCAUGCAAAGAUGAGCCUGCUUCCAAACCAGCAAGCGGCAGAUGAAGAGCUGUCAACAUAUUAUCAGCCUGGGGUUGAUCGGACUGCUAUGUCCUCACCAUUCAAAAGGUUUCUAGAGAAGCACAAGAAGCUGCGGACAUGUUUGCUUCUUUUUGUUCUGUUUGGAGCAUGCAUGGUGAUAGGUGAUGGCGUCCUUACACCCACCAUCUCUGUUUUGGCAGCCUUGUCUGGAUUACAAGACCGAGGCACAGGUGGAUUAGGAAAUGGUUGGGUAGUACUCAUUGCAUGUGUUGUGCUUGUUGGCCUCUUUGCGCUACAACACCGAGGUACUCAUAGGGUGGCAUUCGUGUUUGCCCCCAUUGUUGUACUUUGGCUCUUGAGCAUUGGUGUCAUUGGUCUCUAUAAUAUCAUCCGCUGGAAUCCCAGAGUAUGUCUUGCUCUUUCCCCGCAUUAUAUUGUGAAGUUCUUCAAGAUAACAGGAAGAGAUGGUUGGAUUUCUCUAGGAGGAGUACUUCUUGCCGUGACAGGCACUGAAGCUAUGUUUGCCGAUCUUGGCCACUUCACUGCUGCAUCCAUCAGGCUGGCUUUUGUUGGUGUCAUAUAUCCCUGUCUUGUUCUGCAAUACAUGGGGCAGGCUGCGUUUCUUUCCAAGAACAUGUCUGAUGUACAUGACAGUUUUUACCUAUCAAUUCCACGUACUGUGUUUUGGCCCAUGUUUGUCCUGGCAUCUCUUGCUGCAAUUGUAGGCAGCCAAUCAAUUAUAUCAGCAACCUUCUCUAUUGUCAAGCAGUGCCUUUCUUUGGGAUGCUUUCCACGGGUGAAAGUUGUGCAUACAUCAAGGUGGAUCUAUGGCCAGAUUUACAUACCUGAGAUAAAUUGGAUCCUGAUGGUCCUUUGUUUAGCUGUGACAGUUGGCUUCCGUGACAUAAACAUUAUAGGAAAUGCUUACGGUCUUGCGUGCAUCACUGUGAUGUUUGUUACGACAUGGCUGAUGGCACUGGUCAUCAUAUUUGUGUGGAAAAAGAAUAUCCUGCCUGCCUUGUCGUUCCUCGUAUUCUUCGGGUCAAUUGAGGGCGCGUAUCUGUCUGCAUCAUUCAUAAAGGUUCCUCAGGGAGGAUGGACUCCGAUUGCGCUUGCUUUCGUGUUCAUGUUCAUCAUGUACGUGUGGCACUAUGGUACACGGCGAAAGUACCUGUUUGAUCUCCAAAACAAGGUCUCAAUGAAAUGGAUCCUUACACUUGGCCCGAGCCUUGGAAUCGUGCGUGUGCCUGGAAUCGGCCUCAUCUACACAGAGCUAGUGACCGGGGUGCCUGCCAUCUUCUCACAUUUCGUCACCAACCUGCCUGCAUUUCACCAGAUUUUGGUCUUUGUCUGCGUGAAGUCCGUGCCAGUGCCUUAUGUUCCAGUUGAUGAGCGGUACCUCAUUGGGCGCAUCGGCCCCAGGCAGUACCGGAUGUACCGGUGCAUUGUGAGAUAUGGUUAUAAGGAUGUGCAGAAAGACGAUGAGAACUUCGAGAACCACCUGGUGAUGAGCAUCGCAAAGUUCAUCCAAAUGGAAGCCGAGGAAGCCGCCUCUUCUGGAAGCUAUGAGUCAUCGAACGAGGGAAGAAUGGCAGUCAUACACACCACCGACGCAACCGGAACCGGGCUGAUCAUGAGAGACUCCAAUGAAGGCACCUCCCUGACCAGGAGCAGCAAGUCAGAGACCCUCCAGAGCCUGCAGUCCAUCUACGAGCAGGAGUCGGGCGGCCUGAGCCGCCGCCGGGUCCGCUUCCAGGUCGCCGAGGAGGAGCAGAUCAACCCGCAGGUGCGGGACGAGCUGUCGGACCUACUGGAGGCCAAGGAGGCUGGCGUGGCGUACAUCAUCGGCCACUCCUACGUCAAGGCGAGGAAGAACUCCAACUUCCUGAAGUCGUUCGCCAUCGACUACGCCUACUCGUUCCUCCGGAAGAACUGCAGGGGCCCGUCGGUGACGCUGCAUAUACCCCACAUCAGCCUCAUCGAGGUCGGCAUGAUCUACUACGUCUAG
rnacentral:rRNA from 1 species